rnacentral:rRNA from 1 species
GUUGCCGAUCAAAGAGAGAUGGCAAGACCCGUUCCCAUUUCGAACACGGCAGUGAAUCGUCUCAUCGAUCUGGGUUGUACUAUCGAAAAGAUGGGAAGCUCAGAAAGUUGGCAACC